AAAAAUAUUGCAAUAAGCUUAUAUGUCAUGGAUAACAUAAAUGUUUUAACAUAAAAAACUGACACAUAUCCUAUGUGAUAUUGCUAAUUUAACAAUCUUGCUAAUUGACAAUUACCCUUAUAUCUCUAACAAUUGCUAAUAAAAAUACAACAUCACCCUUCACAUUAUUUAACAAUUACUAAAAAACUAAAAAACUAAAAAUGUACCUACUCUAAGUUAUUUUAUAAUUAUAGUUCUAUCCAUUUUAAAUUGGAGGCAAUUUGAUAUUUUAAAAAAAUAAGAAUUUUCUAAAUUCGACAAUCACCUAAAAUUACCCAUUCAAACCAUCUAUUUUUUUUUAAUAACAUAUAGAAUCAAAUUGAUUACUGUACUAUUUAUUUGCAAUGGGCAAGCUUAAUUAGCCUUCUCUUUGAAAACGCCCCCCCUUGUCUCAACUCUGAUUUCUAGCUUUUCUUAAUUUGUUCUUCUCCUGCGCCUUCUUUUUCUUGGCUUCGGCUGUAACCCAAGUGUAAUUUGAGGGGAUGGCAAAUGGGUCUUGGAGGGUCUCUAGCCUACCG
rnacentral:lncRNA from 1 species